rnacentral:rRNA from 1 species
AGUGAACGCUGGCGGUAGGCCUAACACAUGCAAGUCGAACGGCAGCACAGGAGAGCUUGCUCUCUGGGUGGCGAGUGGCGGACGGGUGAGGAAUACAUCGGAAUCUACUCUGUCGUGGGGGAUAACGUAGGGAAACUUACGCUAAUACCGCAUACGACCUACGGGUGAAAGCAGGGGAGCUUCGGACCUUGCGCGAUUGAAUGAGCCGAUGUCGGAUUAGCUAGUUGGCGGGGUAAAGGCCCACCAAGGCGACGAUCCGUAGCUGGCCUGAGAGGAUGAUCAGCCACACUGGAACUGAGACACGGUCCAGACUCCUACGGGAGGCAGCAGUGGGGAAUAUUGGACAAUGGGCGCAAGCCUGAUCCAGCCAUACCGCGUGGGUGAAGAAGGCCUUCGGGUUGUAAAGCCCUUUUGUUGGGAAAGAAAUCCAGCUGGCUAAUACCCGGUUGGGAUGACGGUACCCAAAGAAUAAGCACCGGCUAACUUCGUGCCAGCCGCCGCGGUAA